GCCGAAGUGGUGGAACUUGGUAGACACGCUAUCUUGAGGGGGUAGUGGCCAAAAGCCGUGCCGGUUCAAGUCCGGCCUUCGGCACCA
rnacentral:tRNA from 1 species